rnacentral:rRNA from 1 species
CCUACCGAUUGGGUAAUGCGGUGAAAAUAGUGGAUGGUUGUGUUGUGGUUUGUUUUGCAGCAAUGCUGGGCAGGCACAAGACAUCGGAAAGUAUUUGAACCUUAAUAUCUAGAGGAAGGAGAAGUCGUAACAAGGUA